UACGAAGGGGGCUAGCGUUGCUCGGAAUUACUGGGCGUAAAGCGCACGUAGGCGGCUUUCUAAGUCGGGGGUGAAAUCCUGGAGCUCAACUCCAGAACUGCCUUCGAUACUGGAGAGCUUGAGUUCGGGAGAGGUGAGUGGAAUGCCGAGUGUAGAGGUGAAAUUCGUAGAUAUUCGGCGGAACACCAGUGGCGAAGGCGACUCACUGGCCCGAUACUGACGCUGAGGCGCGAAAGCGUGGGGAGCAAACAGGG
rnacentral:rRNA from 1 species